rnacentral:ncRNA from 1 species
GCAACCUCGCGUUCACCCGCGGCAACCGCAGCGUGUUCCUGGCAGUGCUCGGCAUCUCCUGGUUCUGGUUCUAUGGCGCGGUGUUCCUGUCACAGUUCCCGGCCUACGCCAAGGACGUGCUC